rnacentral:rRNA from 1 species
UACGUAGGUCCCGAGCGUUGUCCGGAUUUGUUGGGCGUAAAGCGAGCGCAGGUGGUUUAUUAAGUCUGGUGUAAAAGGCAGUGGCUCAACCAUUGUAUGCAUUGGAAACUGGUGGACUUAAGUGCAGGAGAGGAGAGUGGAAUUCCAUGUGUAGCGGUGAAAUGCGUAGAUAUAUGGAGGAACACCGGUGGCGAAAGCGGCUCUCUGGCCUGUAACUGACACUGAGGCUCGAAAGCGUGGGGAGCAAACAGG